GACCGCUCUGGGCCGCACCCGUCGCUCGUUGUCGGACUCCCUCCCGCUGCCAGCGGCCACCCUUCCCCGCGCCCAGCGCGGACCCAUCGGGCUCCCCGCGCCGGACCCAGCACCUCGGCUCUCCGAGGCCGGACCGAGGCCGCAAGCAGCGCCGCGGGGUGUGAGGCGGACCCAGGAGAUGAAAUGACAACGUCAACCCUCCAGAAAGCCAUUGAUCUGGUGACAAAAGCCACAGAAGAGGAUAAAGCCAAGAAUUACGAGGAGGCGCUCCGGCUCUACCAGCAUGCGGUGGAGUAUUUCCUACACGCUAUCAAAUAUGAGGCUCACAGCGACAAGGCCAAGGAGAGCAUUCGAGCCAAGUGCAUGCAGUACCUAGACCGGGCCGAGAAGCUGAAGGAUUAUUUACGGAACAAAGAGAAGCACGGCAAGAAGCCAGUCAAAGAGAACCAGAGUGAGAGCAAGGGCAGCGAUAGUGACAGUGAAGGGGAUAAUCCAGAGAAAAAGAAAUUGCAAGAACAACUGAUGGGGGCCGUCAUGAUGGAGAAGCCCAACAUUCGGUGGAGUGACGUGGCCGGGCUGGAGCUGGCCAAGGAGGCCCUCAAAGAAGCUGUCAUUUUGCCAAUUAAAUUCCCACACUUGUUCACAGGCAAGCGUACCCCUUGGCGAGGGAUACUGCUCUUUGGACCCCCUGGCACCGGGAAAUCCUACCUGGCCAAAGCGGUGGCAACAGAGGCCAACAACUCCACCUUCUUCUCCGUGUCCUCCUCGGACUUGAUGUCUAAGUGGUUGGGGGAGAGUGAGAAGCUCGUCAAGAACCUGUUUGAGCUGGCCAGGCAGCACAAGCCUUCCAUAAUCUUCAUCGACGAAGUGGAUUCCCUCUGCGGAUCCCGCAACGAAAAUGAGAGCGAGGCUGCCCGCAGGAUCAAAACAGAGUUCUUGGUCCAGAUGCAGGGAGUGGGGAAUAACAACGAUGGCACUCUGGUUCUUGGUGCCACCAACAUCCCAUGGGUGUUGGAUUCGGCCAUCAGAAGGAGGUUUGAAAAGCGGAUUUACAUCCCGUUGCCGGAGGAGGCGGCCCGUUCCCAGAUGUUCCGGUUGCAUCUGGGUAGCACGCCACACAGCCUCACGGACGCCAACAUCCAGGAGCUGGCCCGGAAGACAGAGGGCUACUCGGGCGCAGACAUCAGCAUCAUUGUGCGGGACUCCCUCAUGCAGCCCGUGAGAAAAGUUCAGUCCGCAACACACUUCAAAAAGGACUCGGAAACCUGCGAUGUCCUGCCCCUUCUCCAGAAGCCAGCCAUCACACUCCUGUUUCUUCCAGGUCUGCGGCCCUUCCCGCACCAACCCUAACAUCAUGACCGACGACCUCCUGACCCCGUGCUCUCCAGGGGACCCAGGGGCCAUGGAGAUGACUUGGAUGGAUGUCCCUAGUGACAAACUCUUAGAGCCUGUGGUUUGCAUGUCGGACAUGCUCCGGUCUUUGGCCACCACCCGGCCCACCGUGAAUGCAGAUGACCUCCUGAAAGUGAAGAAAUUCUCAGAGGACUUUGGACAGGAGAGUUAAAAGCUUGUCACUCUGGUGAUGGUGACGGAAGGAGGUUGGUGGCGGUACAUUCAUGCACUCCUCAUGUCGGUGGCCAGACAGGCUGCAGGGCUCGUCCUAAAAUCACUCCGUGUCCCCUGGGCUGUCUGGCCGCCCGCCAAGGAGCAGGAAGGAAGGGGCUCCCGGCCGCAGAGAUGCAGAAGCACAUCCGGCAGCGGGUGGAAUACUGGCUCUUCCUACUUCCUCCUCCUCUUCUGGAUGCUCACCACUCCUUGUCCUGACACUCCAUGUUUGUUUUUAAAGCCUUUUUUGUUCCCCUAAAUUAAUGCUGCUUGGAUUUUCGUCCUGUUUAUAAAUAAAGUCAAAAUCACCUGGAGCAUCACGGAGUGGGAGCAGCCGAGCAGUGGGGUCGGUGCAGCAGACCCGCGAGCCCCCAGGGCCCGUUCCUUUUAGACCCAAGUGUCGCUCCUUGUGAACUGAAUGGCUGAUGCCCUGGAACCCAGCCCAAGCUGUGCCUGCAGAGGCCAAGAGUAAAGCCAAGCCAUCCGCACACUCCCAAGUCGCACACUCCCAAGUCGCCAUCCCGGGCCCUGUUCCUCCCUGCAGGAGGAGAGGGGUCUGUGAACACCGAGAUGUGCACGUCAGAAGGAGUGAAGGCAGUCAGGCGGGUCUCACUGCUGCCUCUUCCCUCUGAAUGUGAGAACAUGAACCCAGCCACCGCCCGGGUCCCUGUCCUGGAAGUGGGCUAAUAAAUCCUUUUCCCUUCUUGA